rnacentral:rRNA from 1 species
GGGGUAUUGGGGCAGCUACCAUGCAAGUCGAACGGUAGCACAGAGAGCUUGCUCUCGGGUGACGAGUGGCGGACGGGUGAGUAAUGUCUGGGAAACUGCCUGAUGGAGGGGGAUAACUACUGGAAACGGUAGCUAAUACCGCAUAACGUCGCAAGACCAAAGAGGGGGACCUUCGGGCCUCUUGCCAUCAGAUGUGCCCAGAUGGGAUUAGCUAGUAGGUGGGGUAACGGCUCACCUAGGCGACGAUCCCUAGCUGGUCUGAGAGGAUGACCAGCCACACUGGAACUGAGACACGGUCCAGACUCCUACGGGAGGCAGCAGUGGGGAAUAUUGCACAAUGGGCGCAAGCCUGAUGCAGCCAUGCCGCGUGUAUGAAGAAGGCCUUCGGGUUGUAAAGUACUUUCAGCGGGGAGGAAGGUGUUGUGGUUAAUAACCGCAGCAAUUGACGUUACCCGCAGAAGAAGCACCGGCUAACUCCGUGCCAGCAGCCGCGGUAAUACGGAGGGUGCAAGCGUUAAUCGGAAUUACUGGGCGUAAAGCGCACGCAGGCGGUCUGUCAAGUCGGAUGUGAAAUCCCCGGGCUCAACCUGGGAACUGCAUUCGAAACUGGCAGGCUAGAGUCUUGUAGAGGGGGGUAGAA